CUAUCUCCUUCAAGGUGGGUCUCACAACCAAAAAACCAUGAUGCUAUCUGCUUCAGAAGAGUGGAAGAGCAGCACAAAUUCUUCUUCAUGUUCCUCUCCUGAUCCAGAGCUCCAUAACCACUGCUGCCAGUGGCAGGAAGAUUAGAUCCCAUAAUCAGAUCUCCUGAAAGAAAGGGAUGAAAGUAUCCAGGUGAACUAGUUGCAGACCCCAGACCUUUACCAGCAGCAAGACAGAUCUUCCUCCACAAACAGCUACAGGUGCCAAGGCUGCCCGCUGGGAACGUGUUGGAAGGAACUGGAUAAGCCUGUUUUUAUUCAAAAGAAAGUCUCAAGAAAUCUGGCUCAAAAUUGCUCUUCAUGGACAUCCAGCCAUCACCUCAAGCACAGGAAUUGGUGAAAUCUAGUCGAGCGUCUUAAAACAAAAUCUCUAUUAUACACCAUGAGGAGUGCGUCAGAAAAAAAGAGCUUGACUUCCACAUCCCUGCCUGAUUUGCAAAGUUAUAACCACAAGAUGAGGAAAAAUACUAUGAUGAAUAUUAGAGAAACUCAGAAGACAAGUGAGCUACAAUGUUUGAUUUCAGGCAUUUAAGAUUAUGGAUGGAACCCCUACUGUCUUUAAUCAAGCAAAGCAUGUGAAAUUGGUUACUGUGAAAAGCACUGUAGGAAAAGGAAGUUGUUUUUGUGUAGAUUAACAACAAAAAAAAAAUCCCACACAAUUCUCUGCUCAGAUUUUGCCACGGUAAAGGAUAUACCUGUGCCUUUUCAAAAGAAUUCAACAUGUACUAUAUCACUUAUAAUCUGGUCUCAUAUUAAAAAUGACAAGAUACACUGAUAGAAAAAAAUUGUUUUAAUUGCUAGCAUAUGUUAUCAGAAAUUCAUUUGGUUAUUUUUAAGCAUUAAAGCAUUACUCAGUCA